UAUCCAGUUAAAAAAAUAUGGCUGUGUACAGGUAACCUAUUGCUGCUAUACUAUAUGUAAAUAAAUAAUUUUCUCUGUAUGGAAAUGCUUUUCUUUCUUCUUUUUUUGCACUACUGGAUCACAAAUGUCCUCUUAACAUAGAUUCCUACGCCAAAGCUGUGGACCGGUGUUGGCGGCUGAGGGACACGUCCAGCAUCCAGACAGAAGAUGAAGCAAGUGUCCAAAAAAGGCAGCGCCGACGCCCAAGGAGGUUCAUGACAGAUUCUUCAAGCGAUAAUGAAUCUGUUGCACGACCAGAUAAACUGUCCAGGAUGGAGCGUGCGUCUGGAAGCCCUGUCUCUCAGCAGAUAACACUUACUCCACCACCUGCAUGAAACCAGCUGGUUGCCCAGAGCAGGAUGAGUCUUUAGUGACCCUACCACGGACUGCCACUUCAU